CCUACGGGAGGCAGCAGUGAGGAAUAUUGGUCAAUGGACGAGAGUCUGAACCAGCCAAGUAGCGUGAAGGAUGACUGCCCUAUGGGUUGUAAACUUCUUUUAUAUGGGAAUAAAAUGUUCCACGUGUGGGAUUUUGUAUGUACCAUAUGAAUAAGGAUCGGCUAACUCCGUGCCAGCAGCCGCGGUAAUACGGAGGAUCCGAGCGUUAUCCGGAUUUAUUGGGUUUAAAGGGAGCGUAGGUGGCUUGUUAAGUCAGUUGUGAAAGUUUGGGGCUCAACCGUAAAAUUGCAGUUGAAACUGGCAGUCUUGAUUACAAUAGAGGUGGGCGGAAUGCGUGGUGUAGCGGUGAAAUGCUUAGAUAGCACGAAGAACUCCGAUUGCGAAGGCAGUUCACUGGACUGCAACUGACACUGAGGCUCGAAAGUGUGGGUAUCAAACAGGAUUAGAUACCCCUGUAGUC
rnacentral:rRNA from 1 species